AUCUUGCGCAAUGGGCGAAAGCCUGACGCAGCCAUGCCGCGUGAAUGAUGAAGGUCUUAGGAUUGUAAAAUUCUUUCACCGGGGAAGAUAAUGACGGUACCCCUCAAGAAAGCGCCGGCUAACCCUGUGCCAGCAGCCGCGGUAAUACAGGGGGCGCGAGCGUUGCUCGGAAUCACUGGGCGUAAAGCGUACGCAGGCGGACCGUUAAGUCGGAUGUGAAAUCCCGAGGCUCAACCUCGGACGUGCAUUCGAUACUGGCGGUCUCGAGUACGGGAGAGGUGAGCGGAAUUCCUGGUGUAGAGGUGAAAUUCGUAGAUAUCAGGAGGAACACCGGUGGCGAAAGCGGCUCACUGGCCCGAUACUGACGCUCAUGUACGAAAGCGUGGGGAGCAAACAGG
rnacentral:rRNA from 1 species